CCGAAUACGUUCCAUUGGCAAACCACCGGGCCGAACGGGGUUGACUCGGUCAAUUAAACUGUACGGUUCCGACACGCAACCAGGAUUGUGUACGUACCGAACAAACUCAGGCCCGUGUACUUGUACAAUGGCAACAUCUUUCCUUCAACACAUGAGAAAAACAUCCCCAACAACCCGCGAUGGUUGGCUCACGGGCUUGGACGUACACUUGCCAUCAUCGCACGGACAAUGCGAUCCUAUGGGGUGAUUCUCUCCUGCUCACCAAGACUAUGAUCCAAUGAUUUGCACACAGCCGCAAUUAAUUGUAUACUUCGACGCCAGGCCGAAUGAGGACAUGGUGAUAUAGGAGGAGAUGGUGGAAUUAAUUGUUCACUCAGUCAAUUAAUUGUAUACUUCAACACUAUUAUUUCUGUACUGAUGAUAUCGGAGUACAUGGUGGAAUCCCUAUGCUUAGCUAAGUGUGAGAAAGCCGGCUUAAUUUUGUAUAUCUAUCAACGCAUUUUGUAGAUGAAAUAAAAAAUUGUGUAUUUAUAAUUGUCAUUGGAUAUCAUUGUACAGUGCAUCACCGCUUUCCUCCACGUUAGUAUAGUUCUACAAACAUUGAUGAUAUUAGCUAUAUGAAUAGACCAAAUUAUAGGGUUUUAUGCACCACAGGUAUCCUAGGACUAUAGUCUAAGCUUAAACAUCAGUUACAGGAUUUGAUUUGUUGAGUUUAAAUUAAUACAUUUUAUCUUCAACUUAAAAGGAAAACCAUAUUUAUCAUUUACACGUUUGGAUUACUGCCAUGUCUUUGCUUAACCAACAUAGUAUAUAUUGAUUUAACUCUACAUUGCAUUGAUAGUCAAAAUGCCAUGCCACCCUGUUUGCUUGAUCCAUAGGAGCAUUAGUCCACAAACUCGUGCUUCAUGAGCAUUGAAAAGCUGAGGUA
rnacentral:lncRNA from 1 species